rnacentral:rRNA from 1 species
UACGUAGGGGGCGAGCGUUGUCCGGAGUUACUGGGCGUAAAGCGCACGCAGGCGGUCUGCUAAGUUUGGAGUGACAGUUGGUGGCUUAACUGCCAAAGUGCUUCGAAAACUGACAGACUUGAGGGCUUCAGAGGGACACAGAAUUCCGGGUGGAGUGGUGAAAUGCGUAGAGAUCCGGAGGAACACCAAAGGCGAAGGCAGUGUCCUGGGGAGUACCUGACGCUCAGGUGCGAAAGCCAGGGGAGCGAACGGG